rnacentral:rRNA from 1 species
AGAGUUUGAUCAUGGAAAUGGCUUACGCUGGCGGCGGGCCUAACACAUGCAAGAAGCACGAGAAAGCCCCUGCUUGCAGGGGCGAGUAAAGUGGCGCACGGGUGAGUAACGCGUGGUUUAAUCUACCCUUGGUUUGGGAAAAACCCCCCAAAAGGGGGCUUAAACCCCAAAAAAAAACCCCCCGGCGGCCCACGGGCACUGGGGUAAAAGUGGGCCUCUACAUGUAAGCUCAUGCCUGAGGAUGAGACCGCGUCCCAUUAGCUUGUUGGUGAGGUAACGGCUCACCAAGGCCGCGAUGGGUAGCUGAUCUGAGAGGAUGAUCAGCCACACUGGGACUGGAACACGGCCCAGACUCCUACGGGAGGCAGCAGUGAGGAAUCUUGCGCAAUGGGGGAAACCCUGACGCAGCCACGCCGCGUGGGGUGAAGAAGGCCUUCGGGAUUGUAAAGCCCUGUCAGGUGGGGAAGAACCGCAGUCUGGCCAAUACCUGGACUGCUUGACGGUACCACCAAAGGGAGCACCGGCUAACUUUCGUGCCAGCAGCCCGCGGUAAUACGAAAGGGUGCAAGCGUUAAUCGGGAUUUACUGGGCGUAAAAGCGCGCGUAGGUGGUUUGAUAAGUUGGAUGUGAAAGCCCCGGGCUCAACCUGGGAAUUGCAUCCAAAACUUGUCUGGCUAGAGUAUGGCAAAGGGUGUGGAAUUUUCCUGUGUAACGGUGAAAUGGCGUAUAUAUGUGGAAGGGACACCAGUGGGCGAAAGCGACCAACUGAGCCUAAUACUUGACACUUGAGAUGCGACAUGCGUGUGGUAGCAAACACGGUGUAGAUAUCCCAUGGUGAGUCACACGCCGAUAACCAUGGCAGACUACUCGCUUGGUCAUCCUCUGUAUACUUAGUGGCGCAGACUACUCAUUUUAAUUCUGACACCUGGAGAGUACGAAGCUCGCAGGGUCGUAUAUCACAUCUACC